CGUGCUUAACACAUGCAAGUCGAACGAUGAUCCUCAGCUUGCUGGGGGGAUUAGUGGCGAACGGGUGAGUAACACGUGAGUAACCUGCCCUUAACUCUGGGAUAAGCCUGGGAAACUGGGUCUAAUACUGGAUAUUGACUUUUCCUCGCAUGGGGUUUGGUUGAAAGAUUUUUUGGUUUUGGAUGGACUCGCGGCCUAUCAGCUUGUUGGUGAGGUAAUGGCUUACCAAGGCGACGACGGGUAGCCGGCCUGAGAGGGUGACCGGCCACACUGGGACUGAGACACGGCCCAGACUCCUACGGGAGGCAGCAGUGGGGAAUAUUGCACAAUGGGCGAAAGCCUGAUGCAGCGACGCCGCGUGAGGGAUGACGGCCUUCGGGUUGUAAACCUCUUUCAGUAGGGAACAAGGCCAGUGUUUAGCUGGUUGAGGGUACUUGCAGAAGAAGCGCCGGCUAACUACGUGCCAGCAGCCGCGGUAAUACGUAGGGCGCAAGCGUUAUCCGGAAUUAUUGGGCGUAAAGAGCUCGUAGGCGGUUUGUCGCGUCUGCCGUGAAAGUCCGGGGCUCAACUCCGGAUCUGCGGUGGGUACGGGCAGACUAGAGUGAUGUAGGGGAGACUGGAAUUCCUGGUGUAGCGGUGAAAUGCGCAGAUAUCAGGAGGAACACCGAUGGCGAAGGCAGGUCUCUGGGCAUUAACUGACGCUGAGGAGCGAAAGCAUGGGGAGCGAACAGGAUUAGAUACCCUGGUAGUCCAUGCCGUAAACGUUGGGCACUAGGUGUG
rnacentral:rRNA from 1 species